rnacentral:rRNA from 2 species
GGAGCUUGCUCCUUCACGUUAGCGGCGGACGGGUGAGUAACACGUGGGCAACCUACCUUAUACUUUGGGAUAUCUCCGGGAAACCGGGGCUAAUACCAAAUAAUCUGUUUCCCCUCAUGGUGAAACACUGAAAGACGGUUUCGGCUGUCGCUAUAGGAUGGGCCCGCGGCGCAUUAUCUAGUUGGUGAGGUAACGGCUCACCAAGGCGACGAUGCGUACCCGACCUGAGAGGGUGAUCGGCCACACUGGGACUGACACACGGCCCACACUCCUACGGGAGGCAGCAGUAGGGAAUCUUCCACAGUGGGCGAAAGCCUGAUGGAGCAACGCCGCGUGAGUGAAGAAGGAUUUCAGUUCGUAAAACUCUGUUGUAAGGGAAGAACAAGUACAGUAAUAACUGGCUGUACCUUGACGGUACCUUAUUAAAAAGCCACGGCUA